rnacentral:lncRNA from 1 species
UUUCAUCAAUUUUCGCAAUUCUCUGAAAGGUAAUAAGUCAACUCCUUCCUCUUCAGGAGUGGAAAACCUCACCGACUUAUGAUGACAAUUUAUAUGAACAUAAUUAUACUCUAACCAGUUCAUACCAAGAAUUACAUCCAUCCCAUCCAACGGCAAACAUACUAAAUCAACAUAGAAAUCUUUAUCGAAGAUCGACAAAGGACAUUUUAAACAUACCAAAGAAGUAGUUACUGAUCCCUUAGCUGGGGUCUCA